UACAGAGGUCCCAAGCGUUGUUCGGAUUCACUGGGCGUAAAGGGUGCGUAGGUGGUGAGGUAAGUCGGAUGUGAAAUCUCCGGGCUCAACCCGGAAAUGGCAUUGGAAACUACCUUGCUUGAGGAUUUGAGGGGGGAUUGGAAUACUUGGUGUAGCGGUGGAAUGCGCAGAUAUCAGGAGGAACACCGGUGGCGAAGGCGGGUCUCUGGGCAGUAACUGACGCUGAGGAGCGAAAGCGUGGGGAGCGAACAGG
rnacentral:rRNA from 1 species